CAUUGUUUCAUACAAGAAAGGAUGUUUAUUAUUAUUUAUGCUUGUUUUGAACAGAAUCUCUUUCUCCACACUUCCUUUCUCUCUUUUCUAUCCAAAUCUGAGCAAACUCAAGUGAUCAUUUUGGUGCACCUUGCCACUUAAUUU